CGGUGAGGACGACCUCCCCCUCUACGGGCAUCACCUCGGGACGACCCGA
rnacentral:ncRNA from 1 species